rnacentral:rRNA from 1 species
UCGAGCGGACAACGGGAGCUUGCUCCUUGAUUCAGCGGCGGACGGGUGAGUAAUGCCUAGGAAUCUGCCUGGUAGUGGGGGACAACGUUUCGAAAGGAACGCUAAUACCGCAUACGUCCUACGGGAGAAAGCAGGGGACCUUUGGGCCUUGCGCUAUCAGAUGAGCCUAGGUCGGAUUAGCUAGUUGGUGGGGUAAUGGCUCACCAAGGCGACGAUCCGUAACUGGUCUGAGAGGAUGAUCAGUCACACUGGAACUGAGACACGGUCCAGACUCCUACGGGAGGCAGCAGUGGGGAAUAUUGGACAAUGGGCGAAAGCCUGAUCCAGCCAUGCCGCGUGUGUGAAGAAGGUCUUCGGAUUGUAAAGCACUUUAAGUUGGGAGGAAGGGCAGUAAGUUAAUACCUUGCUGUUUUGACGUUACCGACAGAAUAAGCACCGGCUAACUCUGUG